UGAUAUUCCUGUACCACCUAUAAUCGUUUUAAUCGAUGGGGGGACGCAGUAGGAUAGGCGAAGCGUGCGAUUGGAUUGCACGUCUAAGCAGUAAGGCUGAGUAUUAGGCAAAUCCGGUACUCGUUAAGGCUGAGCUGUGAUGGGGAGAAGACAUUGAGUCUUCGAGUCGUUGAUUUCACACUGCCGAGAAAAGCCUCUAGAUAGAAAAUAGGUGCCCGUACCGCAAACCGACACAGGUAGUCAAGAUGAGAAUUCUAAGGUGAGCGAGCGAACUCUCGUUAAGGAACUCGGCAAAAUGACCCCGUAACUUCGGGAGAAGGGGUGCUCUUUAGGGUUAACGCCCAGAAGAGCCGCAGUGAAUAGGCCCAAGCGACUGUUUAUCAAAAACACAGGUCUCUGCUAAACCGUAAGGUGAUGUAUAGGGGCUGACGCCUGCCCGGUGCUGGAAGGUUAAGAGGAGUGGUUAGCUUCUGCGAAGCUACGAAUCGAAGCCCCAGUAAACGGCGGCCGUAACUAUAACGGUCCUAAGGUAGCGAAAUUCCUUGUCGGGUAAGUUCCGACCCGCACGAAAGGCGUAACGAUUUGGGCACUGUCUCAACGAGAGACUCGGUGAAAUCAUAGUACCUGUGAAGAUGCAGGUUACCCGCGACAGGACGGAAAGACCCCGUGGAGCUUUACUGUAGCCUGAUAUUGAAAUUCGGCACAGCUUGUACAGGAUAGGUAGGAGCCUUUGAAACGUGAGCGCUAGCUUACGUGGAGGCGCUGGUGGGAUACUACCCUAGCUGUGUUGGCUUUCUAACCCGCACCACUUAUCGUGGUGGGAGACAGUGUCAGGCGGGCAGUUUGACUGGGGCGGUCGCCUCCUAAAAGGUAACGGAGGCGCUCAAAGGUUCCCUCAGAAUGGUUGGAAAUCAUUCAUAGAGUGUAAAGGCAUAAGGGAGCUUGACUGCGAGACCUACAAGUCGAGCAGGGUCGAAAGACGGACUUAGUGAUCCGGUGGUUCCGCAUGGAAGGGCCAUCGCUCAACGGAUAAAAGCUACCCCGGGGAUAACAGGCUUAUCUCCCCCAAGAGUUCACAUCGACGGGGAGGUUUGGCACCUCGAUGUCGGCUCAUCGCAUCCUGGGGCUGUAGUCGGUCCCAAGGGUUGGGCUGUUCGCCCAUUAAAGCGGUACGCGAGCUGGGUUCAGAACGUCGUGAGACAGUUCGGUCCCUAUCCGUCGUGGGCGUAGGAAAUUUGAGAGGAGCUGUCCUUAGUACGAGAGGACCGGGAUGGACAUACCUCUGGUGUACCAGUUGUCGUGCCAACGGCAUAGCUGGGUAGCUAUGUGUGGACGGGAUAAGUGCUGAAAGCAUCUAAGCAUGAAGCCCCCCUCAAGAUGAGAUUUCCCAACUUCGGUUAUAAGAUCCCUCAAAGAUGAUGAGGUUAAUAGGUUCGAGGUGGAAGCAUGGUGACAUGUGGAGCUGACGAAUACUAAUCGAUCGAAGACUUAAUCAA
rnacentral:rRNA from 1 species